rnacentral:rRNA from 1 species
UACAGAGGGGGCAAGCGUUGUUCGGAAUUACUGGGCGUAAAGGGCGCGUAGGCGGCCUGCUAAGUCGAACGUGAAAUCCCCGGGCUCAACCCGGGAACUGCGUCCGAUACUGGCAGGCUUGAAUCCGGGAGAGGGAUGCGGAAUUCCAGGUGUAGCGGUGAAAUGCGUGGAUAUCUGGAGGAACACCGGUGGCGAAGGCGGCAUCCUGGACCGGCAUUGACGCUGAGGCGCGAAAGCUAGGGUAGCGAAUGGG